rnacentral:misc_RNA from 1 species
AACGCACAUUGCGCCCCUUGGUAUUCCGGGGGGCAUGCCUGUUCGAGCGUCAUUAUGACCAAUCCCGCAAAGGGGUCUUGGGGUCCGCGGUUCGCUGCGGCCCUUAAAAUCAGUGGCGGCGCCGCCGGUGCUCUCAGCGUAGUAAUACUUCCUCGCUCGGGAACCACGGUGGAUGCUCGCCAGCAACCCCAAUUUUCAAAGGUUGACCUCGGAUCAGGUAGGGAUACCCGCUGAACUUAA